rfam:Leptomonas seymouri strain ATCC 30220 Lsey_0394, whole genome shotgun sequence.
UGUAUAUGUAGUCAAUUGUUAUUAUUCAUAUUAAUUUUUUUAAUUGUUUUUAAAUUGUUUUAUAUUAGUUUAUUGAAAUACUUAUUUAUUUUCAAUGUUUAGGAAUAGUUAAUAAUAAUUUAUAAUUUUGAUUAGAUUACUUUGUUGAUGCUAUAAGAAGGGGUGUGGAAAUAGUGUUAAAUGUAAGAUAUAUAACUAUAAUAAAUAACAUAUAAAUUAUUAGUCAGAAAUGGAUGCCAGCCGUUGCGGUAAUAUCUAUGCUUUUAAAUAUUAUACAUUUAUUAUAUUAAUUUGUUACUUAUUAAUUUUAGUCAAUAAAAAGUUUUAUAUAUUUUAAUUUGUUUUUAUACACCAUCAGGUAUAUGCAAAUAUAAAAUGACAUUAAUUAUUAAUUAUAUUAUAUUAUAUUUAUUCAUAUCUUUAUACACAUAAAAUUUUUAGAUUUUGACACCAUGAAAAGGCUAUCGAAUGGAAUUGUAUAUUUUAUAAUCAAAAUUAAUUAAUUAUAUUAAAUUAUUAAAUUUUAGAUAAAAAAAUAAAUUCAAAAGGUAUUGUUGCCCACCAAUUUUUAUAAUAAAAAUAACGUGCAGUAAUUAAUGAACUUAUAAAAGUACAUUUUUUCAUAUU